rnacentral:rRNA from 1 species
AAAAAAGGUAAGCUACUAAGAGCGAAUGGUGGAUGCCUUGACUGGUAAAGGCGAUGAAGGACGUACUAGACUGCGAUAAGCUACGGGGAGCUGUCAAGAAGCUUUGAUCCGUAGAUUUCCGAAUGGGGCAACCCAAUGUAUAGAGAUAUACAUUACCUAUAUAGGAGCGAACGAGGGGAAUUGAAACAUCUUAGUACCCUCAGGAAAAGAAAUCAAUAGAGAUUGCGUCAGUAGCGGCGAGCGAAAGCGCAAGAGGGCAAACCCAGUGCUUGCACUGGGGGUUGUAGGACUGCAAUGUGCAAGAGGUGAGUUUAGCAGAACAUUCUGGAAAGUAUAGCCAUAGAGGGUGAUAGUCCCGUAUGCGAAAAACAAACCUUAGCUAGCAGUAUCCUGAGUAGGGCGGGACACGAGAAAUCCUGUCUGAAGCUGGGUCGACCACGAUCCAACCCUAAAUACUAAUACCAGAUCGAUAGUGCACAAGUACCGUGAGGGAAAGGUGAAAAGAACUGAGGUGAUCAGAGUGAAAUAGAACCUGAAACCAUUUGCUUACAAUCAUUCAGAGCCCUAUGUAGCAAUACAGGGUGAUGGACUGCCUUUUGCAUAAUGAGCCUGCGAGUUGUGGUGUCUGGCAAGGUUAAGCAAACGCGAAGCCGUAGCGAAAGCGAGUCUGAAUAGGGCGCUUAGUCAGAUGCUGCAGACCCGAAACGAAGUGAUCUAUCCAUGAGCAAGUUGAAGCUAGUGUAAGAACUAGUGGAGGACUGAACCCAUAGGCGUUGAAAAGCCCCGGGAUGACUUGUGGAUAGGGGUGAAAGGCCAAUCAAACUUCGUGAUAGCUGGUUCUCUCCGAAAUAUAUUUAGGUAUAGCGUUGUGUCGUAAUAUAAGGGGGUAGAGCACUGAAUGGGCUAGGGCAUACACCAAUGUACCAAACCCUAUCAAACUCCGAAUACCUUAUAUGUAAUCACAGCAGUCAGGCGGCGAGUGAUAAAAUCCGUCGUCAAGAGGGAAACAACCCAGACUACCAGCUAAGGUCCCUAAAUCUUACUUAAGUGGAAAACGAUGUGAAGUUACUUAAACAACCAGGAGGUUGGCUUAGAAGCAGCCAUCCUUUAAAGAAAGCGUAAUAGCUCACUGGUCUAGUGAUUUUGCGCGGAAAAUAUAACGGGGCUAAAGUAAGUACCGAAGCUGUAGACUUGACUUUGUCAAGUGGUAGGAGAGCGUUCUAUUUGCGUCGAAGGUAUACCGGUAAGGAGUGCUGGAGCGAAUAGAAGUGAGCAUGCAGGCAUGAGUAGCGAUAAUUAAUGUGAGAAUCAUUAACGCCGUAAACCCAAGGUUUCCUACGCGAUGCUCGUCAUCGUAGGGUUAGUCGGGUCCUAAGUCGAGUCCGAAAGGGGUAGACGAUGGCAAAUUGGUUAAUAUUCCAAUACCAACAUUAGUGUGCGAUGGAAGGACGCUUAGGGCUAAGGGGGCUAGCGGAUGGAAGUGCUAGUCUAAGGUCGUAGGAGGUUAUACAGGCAAAUCCGUAUAACAAUACUCCGAGAACUGAAAGGCUUUUUGAAGUCUUCGGAUGGAUAGAAGAACCCCUGAUGCCAUCGAGCCAAGAAAAGUUUCUAAGUUUAGCUAAUGUUGCCCGUACCGUAAACCGACACAGGUGGGUGGGAUGAGUAUUCUAAGGCGCGUGGAAGAACUCUCUUUAAGGAACUCUGCAAAAUAGCACCGUAUCUUCGGUAUAAGGUGUGGUUCGCUUCGUAUUAGGAUUUACUCCGAAAGCGAAGAAACUUACAACAAAGAGUCCCUCCCGACUGUUUACCAAAAACACAGCACUCUGCUAACUCGUAAGAGGAUGUAUAGGGUGUGACGCCUGCCCGGUGCUCGAAGGUUAAUUGAUGGGGUUAGCAUUAGCGAAGCUCUUGAUCGAAGCCCGAGUAAACGGCGGCCGUAACUAUAACGGUCCUAAGGUAGCGAAAUUCCUUGUCGGUUAAAUACCGACCUGCAUGAAUGGCGUAACGAGAUGGGAGCUGUCUCAAAGAGGGAUCCAGUGAAAUUGUAGUGGAGGUGAAAAUUCCUCCUACCCGCGGCAAGACGGAAAGACCCCGUGGACCUUUACUACAGCUUGACACUGCUAUUUGGAUAAGAAUGUGCAGGAUAGGUGGGAGGCUUUGAGUAUAUGACGCCAGUUGUAUAUGAGCCAUUGUUGAGAUACCACUCUUUCUUAUUUGGGUAGCUAACCAGCUUGAGUUAUCCUCAAGUGGGACAAUGUCUGGUGGGUAGUUUGACUGGGGCGGUCGCCUCCCAAAUAAUAACGGAGGCUUACAAAGGUUGGCUCAGAACGGUUGGAAAUCGUUCGUAGAGUAUAAAGGUAUAAGCCAGCUUAACUGCAAGACAUACAAGUCAAGCAGAGACGAAAGUCGGUCUUAGUGAUCCGGUGGUUCUGUGUGGAAGGGCCAUCGCUCAAAGGAUAAAAGGUACCCCGGGGAUAACAGGCUGAUCUCCCCCAAGAGCUCACAUCGACGGGGAGGUUUGGCACCUCGAUGUCGGCUCAUCGCAUCCUGGGGCUGGAGCAGGUCCCAAGGGUAUGGCUGUUCGCCAUUUAAAGCGGUACGCGAGCUGGGUUCAGAACGUCGUGAGACAGUUCGGUCCCUAUCUGCCGUGGGCGUAAGAAGAUUGAAGAGAUUUGACCCUAGUACGAGAGGACCGGGUUGAACAAACCACUGGUGUAGCUGUUGUUCUGCCAAGAGCAUCGCAGCGUAGCUAAGUUUGGAAAGGAUAAACGCUGAAAGCAUCUAAGCGUGAAGCCAACUCUAAGAUGAAUCUUCUCUAAGCUCUCUAGAAGACUACUAGUUUGAUAGGCUGGGUGUGUAAUGGAUGAAAGUCCUUUAGCUGACCAGUACUAAUAGAGCGUUUGGCUUAUCUUUAAUAAAGCAU